GUAAUUCUGAUUCAGUGGUUGGUAUAUGGUGUUUAUUGUAGUUCUACUUGUUUUCAGGCUUGCAACUAAAUACUUCAGAGAGUGAAUUAUUUGCUGCUGAAGUCUUAGAAGAUAGUUGGAUUCUAUGAUUUCAGAUCACUGGGUUCAAGGUAGCAGGUUACUGGUUCGAUAUCUUGGACUUCCUCCUGUUGCUAGGAAGCUUUCUAUUCCUGAUUGCAAGGCUUUGAUUGAGAAGAUUGUUGCCAAAAUCAAUCAUUGGUCUUGCAGUUAUGUAAUAAUAUCAGUCGAGCGAUUGGUACGUGGCAGCAAGAGUUGAAUUGGGUUGUUACUUUUCUCAAAGUCAAGUCCCUAUUGUUUGCAUUUAGAAGCUGACAUGGAAUGCUGAUAUCCGUGCUAUUUGGUGUGAAAGGAAUGGAAGGGUUUUUG
rnacentral:lncRNA from 1 species